CUACGGGAGGCUGCAGUGGGGAAUAUUGCACAAUGGGCGCAAGCCUGAUGCAGCCAUGCCGCGUGUAUGAAGAAGGCCUUCGGGUUGUAAAGUACUUUCAUCGGGGAGGAAGGGAGUAAAGUUAAUACCUUUGCUCAUUGACGUUACCCGCAGAAGAAGCACCGGCUAACUCCGUGCCAGCAGCCGCGGUAAUACGGAGGGUGCAAGCGUUAAUCGGAAUUACUGGGCGUAAAGCGCACGCAGGCGGUUUGUUAAGUCAGAUGUGAAAUCCCCGGGCUCAACCUGGGAACUGCAUCUGAUACUGGCAAGCUAGAGUCUCGUAGAGGGGGGUAGAAUUCCAGGUGUAGCGGUGAAAUGCGUAGAGAUCUGGAGGAAUACCGGUGGCGAAGGCGGCCCCCUGGACGAAGACUGACGCUCAGGUGCGAAAGCGUGGGGAGCAAACAGGAUUAGAUACCCCGGUAGUC
rnacentral:rRNA from 1 species